GGUAGAGGAGGAGAGGGAAGGAUAGGAGAGAGCAGAAGGUAGAGGAGGAGAGGGAAGGAUAGGAGAGAGCAGAAGGUAGAGGAGGAGAGGGAAGGAUAGGAGAGAGCAGAAGGUAGAGGAGGAGAGGGAAGGAUAGGAGAGAGCAGAAGGUAGAGGAGGAGAGGGAAGGAUAGGAGAGAGCAGAAGGUAGAGGAGGAGAGGGAAGGAUAGGAGAGAGCAGAAGGUAGAGGAGGAGAGGGAAGGAUAGGAGAGAGCAGAAGGUAGAGGAGGAGAGGGAAGGAUAGGAGAGAGCAGAAGGUAGAGGAGGAGAGGGAAGGAUAGGAGAGAGCAGAAGGUAGAGGAGGAGAGGGAAGGAUAGGAGAGAGCAGAAGGUAGAGGAGGAGAGGGAAGGAUAGGAGAGAGCAGAAGGUAGAGGAGG